rnacentral:rRNA from 1 species
GGACCCGCACAAGUAGUGGAGCAUGUGGUUUAAUUCGAAGAUACGCGCAGAACCUUACCAACACUUGACAUGUUCGUCGCGACUCUAAGAGAUUAGAGUUUUCGGUUCGGCCGGACGAAACACAGGUGCUGCAUGGCUGUCGUCAGCUCGUGUCGUGAGAUGUUGGGUUAAGUCCCGCAACGAGCGCAACCCUCACUUUUAGUUGCCAUCAUUAAGUUGGGCACUCUGAAAGAACUGCCAGUGAUAAGCUGGAGGAAGGUGGGGAUGACGUCAAGUCCUCAUGGCCCUUACGUGUUGGGCUACACACGUGCUACAAUGGUAUCUACAACAGGAAGCAAAACUGCGAAGUUAAGCAAAUCCUUAAAAGAUACCUCAGUUCGGAUUGCACUCUGCAACUCGAGUGCAUGAAGCUGGAAUUACUAGUAAUCGCAUAUC